rnacentral:piRNA from 1 species
UGAGAAAGUGAAGAGAUAUUGUAUGA